GAUGAAGAACGCAGCGAAAUGCGAUAAGUAAUGUGAAUUGCAGAAUUCAGUGAAUCAUCGAAUCUUUGAACGCACAUUGCGCCCGCCAGUAUUCUGGCGGGCAUGCCUGUUCGAGCGUCAUUUCAACCAUCAAGCCCCCGGGCUUGUGUUGGGGACCUGCGGCUGCCGCAGGCCCUGAAAAGCAGUGGCGGGCUCGUUGUCACACCGAGCGUAGUAGAUUUUAUCUCGCUCAGGGCGUGCUGCGGGUUCCGGCCGUUAAACCACCUUCAUAACCCAAGGUUGACCUCGGAUCAGGUAGGAAGACCCGCUGAACUUAAGCAUAUCAAUAAGCGGAGGA
rnacentral:misc_RNA from 1 species